CCUACGGGAGGCAGCAGUGGGGAAUUUUGGACAAUGGGCGAAAGCCUGAUCCAGCCAUGCCGCGUGCAGGAUGAAGGCCUUCGGGUUGUAAACUGCUUUUGUACGGAACGAAAAGGUCUUUUCUAAUAAAGAAGGCUCAUGACGGUACCGUAAGAAUAAGCACCGGCUAACUACGUGCCAGCAGCCGCGGUAAUACGUAGGGUGCGAGCGUUAAUCGGAAUUACUGGGCGUAAAGCGUGCGCAGGCGGUUAUAUAAGACAGUUGUGAAAUCCCCGGGCUCAACCUGGGAACUGCAUCUGUGACUGUAUAGCUAGAGUACGGUAGAGGGGGAUGGAAUUCCGCGUGUAGCAGUGAAAUGCGUAGAUAUGCGGAGGAACACCGAUGGCGAAGGCAAUCCCCUGGACCUGUACUGACGCUCAUGCACGAAAGCGUGGGGAGCAAACAGGAUUAGAUACCCUGGUAGUCCACGCCCUAAACGAUGUCAACUGGUUGUUGGGUCUUCACUGACUCAGUAACGAAGCUAACGCGUGAAGUUGACCGCCUGGGGAGUAACGGCCGCAAGGUUGAAACUUCAAAGAGUUAGUUGGCGNGAGAGNGCGACGACGACGACGAGGAGGGAG
rnacentral:rRNA from 1 species